AUUGAACGCUGGCGGCAUGCCUUACACAUGCAAGUCGAACGGCAGCACGGGAGCAAUCCUGGUGGCGAGUGGCGAACGGGUGAGUAAUAUAUCGGAACGUGCCCAGUCGUGGGGGAUAACGUAGAGAAAUUUACGCUAAUACCGCAUACGAUCUAAGGAUGAAAGCGGGGGACUCGCAAGAGCCUCGCGCGAUUGGAGCGGCUGAUAUCAGAUUAGGNGUUGGUGAGGUAAAGCUCACCAAGCCGACGAUCUGUAG
rnacentral:rRNA from 1 species